rnacentral:ncRNA from 1 species
CACGUGCUCCGGGGUCGGUGUAAUUCCGAGCCGGCGGUUAUAGUCCGCGACCUGCUCCCGCAAGGGAGUGGCUGAUCUGGUGAAAUUCCGGAACCGACGGUGAAAGUCCGGAAGGGAGGCGCACGUG